ensembl:lncRNA
GAAAUCUCCACUUUGGCCGGAGUUUUUAGAAAUGAUCGUUUUCUGUGACAAAAACAGCGUUUUCGUGUAAAUGAGAGGCCAAACCGUGUGAAAAUAUCUGCGUUUUCCCUUCGUGUAAACGGGCCCUGAGUUGAGAUUCUCUGGAGGUUCUGGAAGUGAGACUGAGUAUAGCGUCUCUGAGGGUGAGACUCAGAUGUUUAACACAAAGGACGUGGGGUUUGUUCAAGACACUGUUAUGAGAGAACUUUUGGUCAUAAUUACACGCGUUAAAUUGAACGACGAGAUUCAAAGUGCGGGCUGAUCCCCUGGAGACGAGGUGCCAGUGCGACGUGUCACAGAGAGACCUGUUUGCCUACGGUGGCUGUGGACCUGCAGACAAAAGCGCUCCCUUGAGUCCCGGCCCAAGCAUCCCUCAGCCUACGCAUUAGCCGGCUCUCCCUCCACCCAGGCUUAAUCUGCUGGCCGCUCAGGUAUUUUGAAUAAAUCAAUGGGAAUACAUGAUUGUUUAAUGAUUUUCCUAGGGGCUCUCUGUUCGACCACAUGCUGCAUGAUUUAGAAUGACUAAUUCCACUUUUUUUUCCCGCCAUUGAUCCGUGCCCGGGCGUGGAGACCGGGCCUUCGUACCCUGGGAGUGUCUUGCUGCCUCUAAAGACGGGCGUUCCUUCAGCGCCCUGCACCUGUGUUAAGUGAAGUUAUUGGAAAGAAAUGAAGAGCUUGUUGAAGGUUACGCUACUAAAACGGACGAUUAGCCUUGGUGUGUGUAUAUAUAGAGUGAAUUAAGUGUAGGGCUGUAGCCUACAUGUUAGCCCUGCCUAACAUCUAGAUUAUGUUUCAUC